rnacentral:rRNA from 1 species
UACGGGGGGGGUAAGCGUUGUUCGGAAUUACUGGGCGUAAAGGGCUCGUAGGCGGCCAACUAAGUCAUACGUGAAAUCCCUCAGCUUAACUGGGGAACUGCGUGUGAUACUGGAUGGCUUGGAUUUGGGAGAGGGAUGCGGAAUUCCUGGUGUAGCGGUGGAAUGCGCAGAUAUCAGGAGGAACACCGAUGGCGAAGGCAGAUCUCUGGGCCGUAACUGACGCUGAGGAGCGAAAGCAUGGGGAGCGAACAGG